CACUGUUGAAAUGUAACUAAGUAAUUUUUAAAUUAUGUAAAUUAAAUUAAGUAAAUUUUAAACAAGCUACUUUUUACUUUUACUUGAGUAUAAUUUUAUACUGGUACUUUUACUUGUACUUAAAUGGUACCUUUACUUGAGUAAAAUAUUUCCGUACUCUUUCCACCUUUGGUGAUAUCAGCAUCAUCCACUAGUGUUUAUGCAGACAGGCGAUUCAGGUCAUAGACAAACUGGGACAGUAGUGGCUUAUUUUCCUGCAUAUGUUUGCAGUCUUGAAGAAUAGAAGGAUGGAUAAAAAUCCAUCGUAGCUGUUGACUGGAUGCUGAAAUACUGGAAGAUGCUCUUUGGAAAGGUCAGGUCUCUCCAUCUGGGUCAAGCAGCGGGCAAGAAUGGGGGAUUUCAGAGCCGAGGAAGGGAGGCCACACCUGCGUGCUGUCAGAAUGUGAAAGGCAUGUUAUGUCAGGCUAGGUGGUGCAUGGAGUUGAGCAAUCUGGACAGCAGAGAGACAGAGACGGAGAGACAUAAUGAGAAGUGCUGUAUCAUCCUCGGUGAGCUCUGUUAAUGUGUGUGUGUGUGUGUGUGUGUGUGUGUCGCACACAGUACACCUCCACAGCCUCUUCAACUCCUCACUUCUGUCAUUUUUAAAUGAUGACUGUGCUGUAUUACCUUCACACUCACAGGAUGAAAGACUGUUCUUGGAAUCUAAGUAACAAAACACAAUUCUGACUUACAAACUACUGCAAAAGGUGGUUUUCUUACUCAGUAUUUCCACAGUCUUGUUUUCCCGAUACAAAACAUUCUUAAAUCAGGAUAAAUUUACUUGAAAAGAAAAACGA